rnacentral:rRNA from 1 species
GACGAACGCUGGCGGCGUGCUUAACACAUGCAAGUCGAACGGAAAGGCCCUGCUUUUGUGGGGUGCUCGAGUGGCGAACGGGUGAGUAACACGUGAGUAACCUGCCCUUGACUUUGGGAUAACUUCAGGAAACUGGGGCUAAUACCGGAUAGGAGCUCCUGCUGCAUGGUGGGGGUUGGAAAGUUUCGGCGGUUGGGGAUGGACUAGCGACUUAUCAGCUUGUUGGUGGGGUAGUGGCUUACCAAGGCUUUGACGGGUAGCCGGCCUGAGAGGGUGACCGGGCACAUUGGGACUGCGAUACGGCCCAGUCUCCUACGGGAGGCAGCAGUGGGGAAUAUUGCGCAAUGGGCGGAAGCGUGAUGCAGCAACGCCGCGUGCGGGAUGACGGCCUUCGGGUUGUAAACCGCUUUCGCCUGUGACGAAGCGUGAGUGACGGUAAUGGGUAAAGAAGCACCGGCUAACUACGUG